rnacentral:tRNA from 1 species
CUCCGGCUAGCUCACUCAGAAGAGCACAUGACUCUAAAUCUUGGGGUUGUGAGUUCAAGCCCCAUGUUGGGUG